rnacentral:tRNA from 1 species
GGGGCUGUGGUGUAGCUUGGUUAUCAUCAUAGGUUUGGGACCUAUGGACCCCGGUUCGAAACAAUGGUUUCGCCCAUUGACGACGAGAUUCUUCCCUUCGGGCGGAGGAUUUGCUUCGCAAAUCGAAACCAGUGACGAAAGUCCGGGCAGCCCCA